UACGUAGGGUGCGAGCGUUGUCCGGAAUUACUGGGCGUAAAGGGCAGGCAGGCGGAUCCAUAAGUUUAUCGUUUAAGGCGUCGGCUUAACCGGCGUAGGGCGGUAGAUACUGUGGAUCUGGAAUGCGGUUGGGGAAGACAGAAUUCCUGGUGUAGCGGUGGAAUGCGCAGAGAUCAGGAGGAAUACCGAAGGCGAAGGCAGUCUUCCAAGCCGUUAUUGACGCUCAACUGCGAAGGUGUGGGUAUCAAACAGGAUUAGAUACCCUGGUAGUCCCU
rnacentral:rRNA from 1 species